UACGUAGGGUGCGAGCGUUAAUCGGAAUUACUGGGCGUAAAGCGUGCGCAGGCGGUUUUGUAAGCCAGAUGUGAAAUCCCCGGGCUUAACCUGGGAACUGCGUUUGAAACUACAAGGCUAGAGUGUGGCAGAGGGGGGUGGAAUUCCACGUGUAGCAGUGAAAUGCGUAGAGAUGUGGAGGAACACCGAUGGCGAAGGCAGCCCCCUGGGUUAACACCGACGCUCAGGCACGAAAGCGUGGGGAGCAAACAGG
rnacentral:rRNA from 1 species